rnacentral:misc_RNA from 1 species
UGUGGGAGCGAGCCUGCUCGCGAUAACGGUGUGUCAGUCAACAUAGUCGUCAAAGUUGGAUUGCUAUCGCGAGCAGGCUCGCUCCCACA